GUGCCAGCAGCCGCGGUAAUACGGAGGGUGCAAACGUUGCUCGGAAUCAUUGGGCGUAAAGCGCACGUAGGCGGACCGCUAAGUCGGAUGUGAAAGCCCUCGGCUUAACCGAGGAAGUGCAUUCGAAACUGACGGUCUUGAGUAUGGAAGAGGGUCGCGGAAUUCCCGGUGUAGAGGUGAAAUUCGUAGAUAUCGGGAGGAACACCAGUGGCGAAGGCGGCGACCUGGGCCAAUACUGACGCUGAGGUGCGAAAGCGUGGGGAGCAAACAGGAUUAGAUACCCCCGUAGUCC
rnacentral:rRNA from 1 species